UGUGUUGUUCACAGAUAGGGAUCGGGAUGAGGUGGGCUCUUCCUGCCCCUGCCCUGCCCGGCCGGCAACGAGCAGUGCCGAACUUCCCGGGGGUUACAACUUUGUCACCUUUGGGAAAGUAUGAAAAUUAAAAUAAAAUCGCAUCUAGGAGAGGAGGGGAAAAAAAGAAAAAAAAAAGAAAAAGAAAAAAAAAAGGAAAAAAAAAAAAAAAGCCCAGACUCCACCUUUGCACUGAAGGGAUUGGUUAUGCAAAUAUGGAAGGGGUUUCCUGGCAAAUACAGCUUUCUACUGUAUGGUUAAUUAAAUCAUCACUCAAAAGCCUUCCAAUGUGACGCUUCUGUCGUAAUCCAAUCAGGUUACGUAGGUCCUAAACAAGAAAGAUAUUUUCCACAUCUGGAAGUCAGCAAUUUAGCAAGUACUGCACAUUAUUAACCAAUUCAGAGCCCACUUCCCAGGGGGAUUUUUUUUUUUUUUUUUGAAGUUUAAGUGUUCUUAACCAAUGCUCUGCUGUUUUGUUAAUCAAAAAGCUGGUUUACACUGCACGUAAUUGAGAACUAAUACAGAAGUAAGUCAAGGCAGCCGAGCUGCGGAUGCUGAGCGCUUAUCUGCAUUGGGGCUGAUACGGCACAGCUCGAUCCGCGCUGCCCGGCUUCCAGCGCGACCCACGGCCCUUCCUGCCUCGAAAAGAGCUCGAAACCAGCUCGGUGCGAAGAUAAACUUCGCAUCUCGCGCAUUCGUGUGAUCCUUUCUGAAGGUAACCGUGCAGCUGCCCGAAGGGCUGCAUUAGGGAGCUGCGGAGCAAUCCCCUGCUGUGACAGAGUUAAAUCUAUUACAGCACUUCUUCUUCUUCUUCUUUUUUUUUUUUUUUUUAUUCCCCUCCUCAAGAAAACUGAAACAAAUGGUACACUGAUCCGACACUAUUCUUUUACUUACAUUAAGCUAAGAUAAACUGCUCUUGAACUGAGCGUUGAAUGUGUGCCUACAGCAAGAGCUGGAACGCGAGCAAUAGUCACUAGCAAUUGCACUCAAAAAUGGUCCUGAUCAGAGAACACCUUUCUGAUGACUAAAUACUGCGAGGGAAGGCAGGGACCCCCCGAGCCCCCCGACGUGUCUUUGCAGCUCGUCGCUCCCACAAAAAAAAUGUGAUUGCUGUUUUUCAUCUGUUAGUACAACCUGCCCUGCGAGCUGUAGGCAGGAGCCGGUGCCCCCGUGCGCUCCAGAUCUGGGGGAGAAGGGAGAGGAUUUGGGGGAAAGGGGAGAGGCAGCGCACCGAGGAGGGGCUGCAGGGGACCCCGCGGGCACCGAGACCCCAAAGGCGCAGGGGCUUUUUAGGGAAACAGCCACCAAAUGCCCUUCAGCGCGUCCCCCCGGGCGCAGGUCCGUGCGCGGCAGGCGAGGGGGCGCGCAGCUUGCUCUCUGCCUGCGCCCGAUUUGCGCCCUAUUUGCGAGGGCAGCCCCGGGCCCCCGCCGGCCCCGCACUGUGGGAUGUGGGUGCGGGAAGCAGCGGCUCGGAGCCAGCCCGGCUCCUGCCGCCGAGCCCCGCAGCUGUGCAGAGGUGGGAAAAGGGUUUUCAUUUUACUGUUAUCAUUAUCAAUAUAUUUUUUUCCCCCUGGUCUGAGUUAUUUUAGCUUUGUUAAAAGUUUUCUUGCUGUAUUCAGUAAAUGGCAACGUUAUUUUCUUGCAGGUUUCGUGACUUGUCCGUGCCCAAGUGUACCUGUAGAUACAGUCAUAUGCACACACACACACACACACAAAGUGAUAUCUUAAUGAAAUAUAUAGCACAGUGCAAAUAUCCUGAAAUCAGAUUCAAGUAUUAUUAAUUUGAAUUAGGUCCUCUCAGAUCCAGAAGACACUGCCUAUAAAUCAAGGGCAGUCUGGCAAUUCCUUAAAGAGCUAAACUGAAUUUAGAUGCAUAUGAUAAAAAGAAAGAAAAAGAAAAAAGUGAAUGCUAAUUACUGGCUCACCCAUUUUCCACUUAACCAUGUUUUAUAUCAGAAAAAAACAAACACAAAAAAAAAAAACAAGCUCUCAAAAUAAAUUAAUCCCAUAACAAAUGCUUUACAUAUUAUUCAUACGUUUCCAGAUUACAAAAUGGGAGGAUGAACGGCAGAUUAAGAGACACUGUAGCCUAACCUGCAAUGAGAGGGAGUGCCAUCCACGUAUCGUCAUUAAAACAUAUAUCUGCAGCUACACUGAAAAAGCAACCCUCAGCCCGUGCGAUGAUGCUCACGGGCUUUAAGGAACAUGUUGGCAUUGGCAGAUAAUCCCUAUUCGUAAUUUUUGCAGCCUGUUCUCCAGCCCUCAAUCUCACAGCUCCUCCAGCUCCUAUACAUCCCAGCAGGGCUGCAUCUGAGUGACAAACCACCCAAGCUUUGUGGGGGGGGGGGCACAACACCAAACCUUAUCAAUGCCAUUUUAAUGUGGUCUAUGGGAGUGUUAUUUUAUUUUAAUUUUUGGACACUGGGCAUAAACAUUUAGCAAUUAGCUAAGCCCUUCUGAGAUGGAAUUUAACCUUAAUCCAAGCGAUGAUUUCCUGCCCUGCUCUGAUCUAAUAAUGGGAGUGCAGCUCCUUGAGGAUAUGGAAAUAAUGACAACCUAUAGCUCUGCCUGGAUUGGGGUGGUGCUGGCAGCCCAGCUCCCAGCCUCUUCCCAUUCUCAGUGUGUUCAGCAUUCCCCUUCAGAGCUUAUGCCUCACUCCAUUUCCAGCUUAAAAAACAUGACCCCCAACCAGCCCAUCCAUUUAAAAACAAGCCCCAGCUCUCUCCCUGUGUAAGGCACCCAGUGGUGUGGCUCAGGGACAGUUUUAAGGGCAAUUCCCUGGGUGUGGGUUUUUCCCUUUUUCCUCAAGUUUUCUUGCUGAGAGGGGAGCAUGUCCCAGCUGCGCCAUUAUGGGCGAUGCUUGCUUCUCUUCCUCAUGGGCUUCCCUUUGCCCACGUCACCAUUGCAUGUGGAGGUGACCCCUGUGCCUGCCUGGGGGCUCCUGAGGUGACAAAGUGUUGGGCAGGGGGAAAGACCCCAAGCACAGGGUGAGGGGAAGCCACCUAAGGGGAACAUAUGGCUGAGGCCUAUUGCGGCCUUCACGGCCUGUGCAGGCCCUGGGGGCUUGGUGAGGGGACAACCUGCUGCCUUGUUUAUUUGGAUUUGCUCUCUUCUUCCCCAGCAAAGCACAAGGACAUGCAGCGAGGAGCACAUUUUCUCACCCAUGCUGUCACAUCCCUGGGGAGGAGGAAAAAGCAGGGGGUGAGGAGCAACGUCACACCUCCACUGAGGCCUGCCCGGCUCAGGUGUUGGGCUGUGGCUCUAGCUCACUGCUGGGCUAGCGAAGAUGGAGUUUAGCACCUCCAAAAACACAUUAGUUGAGCUUUUUAUUUCAGGUCUUUCAGAGGCAGGGCUCUUGAGGGUCAGCCCCUUCCUGCACCAGGGAUUACAGAUCCCUGUGGAGGGGUCCCAGCCUGGGGACAGCAUCCUUCCCACAGCAGGGCUGCAGCCGCCAUGCCGGGGGAGCCAGGGCCUCUGGGGGGGCUUGCCUGUCUUCAUGCAUAGCUCCCUGAUGCAGGAGCUGCCCUCGCUUUGGGAAAUAAUUCAGAGUGGUUUUUUUGCUUUUUUUUCUGUUAAUGAAAAUGACCGAAAACCAACAGGGGGGAUUAUUUUCUGCGGCCACCUGUGGGUAGGGCAGGUUGGAAUUAUUUUCCUGCAUGGCGAAUGCCCUGUGUGGCCCCAAGGUGCUGGUGGAUGCUUUUCCUCCUUACAGGUGUUCCUGGGAACUAAGAUUCAGAGAGCAAGGCUGCCUUUCUUUUUCCCAUUUCCACAUGGAGGAGAGGAAGGAAGGGUCAGGGAACGACUCUCCCCCCACCCGCUGAUGAGUCAUUCCUGACGGCCUGGUGCUGUUCAGCUCCUGUCUACAACACACAUCUCUGCUUCUGGGCUGGAGGAACAGCAUGUGUGGGACCCGAGCUGCUUCUCACAUCGGGCAGUGAGUAGGGAGCGGGUGGAGGGGUGAGGAUGCUCACCCUGAGCACGGUGAGAUUUCCCCUUUCCCUUCCUGGAUCGACGCUGAACUUUGGGCACAUUUCUUGGCUCAGUUGGCAGUUAUUAAAAUUCGCUGCUCACUUUUGUUUACAGUUGGUUAUUUACUUUGUUGAAUUUUUAAAAACUUGUUAGAAUGCAAUUGAACACAGAUUCAACAGUAUUUAAGCUUGAAAAAUAAAGAUGCAUUAGAAAGAUGCC